rnacentral:rRNA from 1 species
AGCGAACGUUUGCGGCGGGCCUAACACAUGCAAGUCGAACGGGCUAGCAAUAGUCAGUGGCGCACGGGUGCGUAACACGUGGGUAAUCAACCCUUCAGCCUGGGAUAACGAUCUGAAAGGAUCGCUAAUACCGGAUGCGAUGCGAGGAACCUCGGUUUUUCGCAGGAAAGCUUCGCAAGGGGCACUGAAGGACGAGCCUGCGGCCCAUCAGCUAGUUGGUGAGGUAAAAGCUCACCAAGGCGAAGACGGGUAGCUGGUCUGAGAGGAUGAUCAGCCACACUGGAACUGAGACACGGUCCAGACUCCUACGGGAGGCAGCAGUGGGGAAUAUUGCGCAAUGGGCGAAAGCCUGACGCAGCCACGCCGCGUGAGCGAUGAAGGCC